rnacentral:rRNA from 1 species
UGGUGGAGUGAUUUGUCUGGUUAAUUCCGAUAACGAACGAGACUCUAGCCUGCUAAAUAGACUGGCGAUCCCUUCGUGGGUCGACCAGAUUUGCUUCUUAGAGGGACUUUGCGUGUUUAACGCAAGGAAGUUUGAGGCAAUAACA